UAAGGGACUCCUACGGGAGGCAGCAGUGGGGAAUAUUGCACAAUGGGCGCAAGCCUGAUGCAGCCAUGCCGCGUGUAUGAAGAAGGCCUUCGGGUUGUAAAGUACUUUCAGCAGUGAGGAAGGUGGGUAUGUUAAUAGCAUACUCAUUUGACGUUAGCUGCAGAAGAAGCACCGGCUAACUCCGUGCCAGCAGCCGCGGUAAUACGGAGGGUGCGAGCGUUAAUCGGAAUUACUGGGCGUAAAGCGCAUGCAGGUGGUUUGUUAAGUCAGAUGUGAAAGCCCGGGGCUCAACCUCGGAAUUGCAUUUGAAACUGGCAAACUAGAGUACUGUAGAGGGGGUAGAAUUUCAGGUGUAGCGGUGAAAUGCGUAGAGAUCUGAAGGAAUACCGGUGGCGAAGGCGGCCCCCUGGACAGAUACUGACACUCAGAUGCGAAAGCGUGGGGAGCAAACAGGAUUAGAUACCCUGGUAG
rnacentral:rRNA from 1 species